rnacentral:rRNA from 1 species
UACAGAGGUGGCAAGCGUUGUUCGGAAUUACUGGGCGUAAAGGGCGCGUAGGCGGUCCGAUAAGUCCCGUGUGAAAUCCCUCGGCUCAACUGAGGAAUGGCACGGGAAACUGACGGGCUUGAGUUCGGGAGAGGGAAGCGGAAUUCCGGGUGUAGCGGUGAAAUGCGUAGAUAUCGGGAGGAACACCAGUGGCGAAGGCGACUACCUGGCCCAUUCUUGACGCUGAGGCGCGAAAGCUAGGGGAGCGAACGGG